rnacentral:sRNA from 1 species
GCUGGGCGUGGUGAUGCACCCCUGUAAUCCCAGCGACUCCUGGAGGCUGAGGCAGGAGGAUCACAAGUUCAAAGCCUGCCUCAG